rnacentral:rRNA from 1 species
AGUGAACGCUGGCGGUAGGCCUAACACAUGCAAGUCGAACGGCAGCACAGUAAGAGCUUGCUCUUACGGGUGGCGAGUGGCGGACGGGUGAGGAAUACAUCGGAAUCUACUUUUUCGUGGGGGAUAACGUAGGGAAACUUACGCUAAUACCGCAUACGACCUACGGGUGAAAGCAGGGGAUCUUCGGACCUUGCGCGAUUGAAUGAGCCGAUGUCGGAUUAGCUAGUUGGCGGGGUAAAGGCCCACCAAGGCGACGAUCCGUCGCUGGUCUGAGAGGAUGAUCAGCCACACUGGAACUGAGACACGGUCCAGACUCCUACGGGAGGCAGCAGUGGGGAAUAUUGGACAAUGGGCGCAAGCCUGAUCCAGCCAUACCGCGUGGGUGAAGAAGGCCUUCGGGUUGUAAAGCCCUUUUGUUGGGAAAGAAAAGCAGCAGGUUAAUACCCCGCUGUUCUGACGGUACCCAAAGAAUAAGCACCGGCUAACUUCGU